AUGCUUCACUCGGCGUCACCUUGGAUGGACAAGUUACUCAUGCUGGACAUUCGAAGAAUGGAAUUUUCUACAGUCAACGAUCGCACGGGCUACCAUAUGCAUCUCAGGUGUCUGCCUGGCCAGGCGGAUGAAGUUGUUGACAGAAACGAUAUGCCAUCCAGACGCCGGUCUGGCCAUACCAGAAGUCUUCCUCGCAUUGUAGUGGGCAAAGAAGGGACUAUUGAGAUGUUUUCUCUCGUUGGUGGUCACAGCCCAAAUAGCUCGUUUGGUCUCUAUCAUACAACUCAGCAAAAUAACUCUGAAUCUCCCAAGGAAUGGCAGCUAGAGAAUAUUAUACAGUUGCCUGGCCAGUAUCAUUAUUUCACCUUGGGCGCGGCUGAGGGAUUCUUAUUCCUUGGAGCCACUACAGAAGAUCAGCUGGACAUUGACGAAGACUCGCCGGUGUGGUUGUCAAGGACUGAUUGGGAUGUAGACUAUUUUUCUCUGGAUGUCAAGACUUCUGAACUUGUAAAGGUUUGUAGGAGGAAGAAGAAAUUCUUCCAUUAUGAAAAUGUUUAUUGGUACUUUGGCUUCCCUCCGUCGUUAUCAAAGCCGACUAUUUGA
rnacentral:rRNA from 1 species